AUAUUCUUACACAAAUACCUUCGUAUUAACCUUUUUUUACACAAAAAAAUAUCCUUUUGUUUUUAUUCAAACGUUCCAUCAUUCACAAAAACUACUUGAAAACCGAUCUCAAUACUCCACGAUGAAGAAUGUGCAGUAAUUAGCAAAAGAAAGUGUAUGAAUCUGCAAUAAAAACAAUCGCAGGUCUUGUGCUCAAUUGCCCGUUGUUGGAGUCGCGGUGAAUUGCUCGUGAUUGUGGAGCCCUAAUUUUGAUAUAUUCUUCCCAAAUUUAAGGGUGAUUCUCAUAUUUGAGCAACAUUGAGUAGCACAUCCAACGCCCUGAAAUUGUGAAUGAAGGCAAGUGUGAAGAGCAAAAUAUGUCGCAGAAUGAAGGCAAGUGUGAAGAGCAAAAUAUGUCGCGUAAGAUUUGUGUGAGCACAUCAUUGUACCCACUUCUAGAGGAGAUCAAUGGUCAACAUGUUGCAAACCAAAUGGCUAUGCUCAAACGUUUUGUUUUGUUGUCAAGGAAAAUAUGAAAAGAAAAUGUGUCACAUACAUGCAACCAUAUAAGUACCAUGAUAGGUAGGAUCCCUUACCAGGUCAAGCACAUGGAUAGAUUAUUAGAGUCACUUAUAUUGAUUGCUUGGUAAACCUUCGUAUGGAUUGAAACACAUUUGGUUGACUAUGUAUUUUAGCGUAUCACAAAAAGAAUAAGGUAGUUAGGUUUAUUUUUUUGAGGUCUGGACAAACAGUAUCACAUUACGUACAUGUUGUAUUAAAAGCUAUAUUAAAACUACUUGAUGUACAGUUAGUCAAACCUGAACAUGUACCGGACCGAUGUACUGACCCAAGGUGGAAGUGGUUUAAGGGAUGUCUGGGAGCAUUAGAUGAGACUUAUGUCAAUGUAACACUGAGCAAUGAAGACAAGGGGGAUAUAGGACAUGAGCCAGAUUUCCACAAACACUUUGGCCAUAUGUGAUCGAAAUUUGAGGUUUGCGUUGAGAUUGGUGGACUUUGCUUACUAAAAAUAUAAAUAGUGAAGUAGAAGAUCCAUUUCUCUGCAGCCUAACUCAUUCGUUAUACUCCAUUUGUUCCACCAUAAGCGAGUCACUUUCCUUUUCGUGAUGUCCCACCAUAAGUGAGUCAUUUGCCUUUUAAGCAAAAAGUCUUCUCUUUUACUUUUUUUUUCCACCUGUUUUAUUCUUUUCAUCAUCUACUUUUUCAUUUCUCUUACUUUACUCUCUUCACUUUAACUUUUAAAUAUCAUUCCUUAAAUCUCGUGCACAAAAGAAGUGGCUCGCUUAUGGUGGGACUGAGGGAGUAGCAUUCUUGAAACCUUCGGACCCCUAGGCUGAUAAAAUGUGUUUUGAUAUACCAAUACAAAGUAGUUUCUUUUACCAAUCAAAUUGGACCUCCGAUAGUGAUGCUUUGUUGUUACGUACAAUUUUACGAAUGAAAAAAACUCACGGUGGGAAAGGGGUUAUGAUACCGAGUCAUUUUUUAUAUGAAGCUCAAGUUGCCAUUGAAGCGGAGUUCGGUUUUCGGUUCACAUGGGACGAACUAUAUGAGCGUCUUCAUUCGUUGGAGUUUCGGUACCAAACUAUUAAGAAGGUUUUAGCCAUUCAUGGUAACACUAGAAUGUCCAUGACAACAAUAUGAUAGUUUCGGAAAAGGAGUGUAAAGACAUAUUCAAGGUUUGUAGUUUAUUUAAGAAUUUUUUUUAUUAAUUUAAGCUUGCUAA